rnacentral:rRNA from 1 species
GAUGAACGCUGACAGAAUGCUUAACACAUGCAAGUCUACUUGAACUUCGGUUUGGGUGGCGGACGGGUGAGUAACGCGUAAAGAACUUGCCUCACAGUUAGGGACAACAUUUGGAAACGAAUGCUAAUACCUGAUAUUAUGAUUUUAGGGCAUCCUAAGAUUAUGAAAGCUAUAUGCACUGUGAGAGAGCUUUGCGUCCCAUUAGCUAGUUGGAGAGGUAACGGCUCAGCAAGGCGAUGAUGGGUAGCCGGCCUGGGAGGGUGAACGGCCACAAGGGGACUGAGAAACGGCCAUUACGCCUACGGGAGGAAGCAGUGGGGAAUAUUGGACAAUGGACCAAAAGUCUGAUCCAGCAAUUCUGUGUGCACGAUGACGUUUUUCGGAAUGUAAAGUGCUUUCAGUUGGGAAGAAAAAAAUGACGGUACCAACAGAAGAAGUGACGGCUAAAUACGUG